rnacentral:tRNA from 1 species
GAGGGUGUAGCUCAGUGGCAGAGCGCAUGCUUAGCAUGCAUGAAGUCCUGGGUUCAAUCCCCAAUGCCCCCA